rnacentral:rRNA from 1 species
CCUACGGGUGGCAGCAGUGGGGAAUAUUGGACAAUGGGCGAAAGCCUGAUCCAGCCAUGCCGCGUGUGUGAAGAAGGCCUUCGGGUUGUAAAGCACUUUCAGUGGGGAAGAAAGCCUUGGGGCUAAUACCCUCGAGGAAGGACAUCACCCACAGAAGAAGCACCGGCUAACUCCGUGCCAGCAGCCGCGGUAAUACGGAGGGUGCGAGCGUUAAUCGGAAUUACUGGGCGUAAAGCGCGCGUAGGCGGUCUGAUAAGCCGGUUGUGAAAGCCCCGGGCUCAACCUGGGAACGGCAUCCGGAACUGUCAGGCUAGAGUGCAGGAGAGGAAGGUAGAAUUCCCGGUGUAGCGGUGAAAUGCGUAGAGAUCGGGAGGAAUACCAGUGGCGAAGGCGGCCUUCUGGACUGACACUGACGCUGAGGUGCGAAAGCGUGGGUAGCAAACAGGAUUAGAUACCCUGGUCGUC